UGAACUUGGUCAUGUGGAUGCCCUGUC
rnacentral:piRNA from 1 species